rnacentral:rRNA from 1 species
UAGGGAAUAUUGGUCAAUGGAUGCAAGUCUGAACCAGCCAUGCCGCGUGCAGGAAGAAGGCCUUCUGGGUUGUAAACUGCUUUUGCCAGGGGAUAAAAUGGGAGUGCGCUCCUAAUUGAAGGUACCUGGUGAAUAAGCCACGGCUAACUACGUGCCAGCAGCCGCGGUAAUACGUAGGUGGCAAGCGUUGUCCGGAUUUAUUGGGUUUAAAGGGUGCGUAGGCGGUCUAUUAAGUCAGUGGUGAAAUAUGGCAGCUUAACUGUCAAGGUGCCAUUGAUACUGAUGGACUUGAGUGAAGUCGAGGUUGGCGGAAUUGACGGUGUAGCGGUGAAAUGCUUAGAUAUCGUCAAGAACACCGAUAGUGAAGACAGCUAACUAGGCUUAUACUGACGCUGAGGCACGAAAGUGUGGGGAUCAAACAG